GACGAACGCUGGCGGCGUGCCUAAUACAUGCAAGUAGAACGCACAGUUUAUACCGUAGCUUGCUACACCAUAGACUGUGAGUUGCGAACGGGUGAGUAACGCGUAGGUAACCUGCCUGGUAGCGGGGGAUAACUAUUGGAAACGAUAGCUAAUACCGCAUAAUAUUAAUUAUUGCAUGAUAAUUAAUUGAAAGGUGCAAUUGCACCACUACCAGAUGGACCUGCGUUGUAUUAGCUAGUAGGUGAGGUAACGGCUCACCUAGGCGACGAUACAUAGCCGACCUGAGAGGGUGAUCGGCCACACUGGGACUGAGACACGGCCCAGACUCCUACGGGAGGCAGCAGUAGGGAAUCUUCGGCAAUGGACGAAAGUCUGACCGAGCAACGCCGCGUGAGUGAAGAAGGUUUUCGGAUCGUAAAGCUCUGUUGUAAGAGAAGAACGGGUGUGAGAGUGGAAAGUGCACACUGUGACGGUAUCUUACCAGAAAGGGACGGCUAACUACGU
rnacentral:rRNA from 1 species